rnacentral:rRNA from 1 species
CGGACGGGUGAGUAACGCGUGAGAAUCUGCCCUCAGGAGGGGGAUAACAGUUGGAAACGACUGCUAAUACCCCAUAUGCCGAGAGGUGAAACGAAUUUCGCCUGGGGAUGAGCUCGCGUCUGAUUAGCUUGUUGGUGGGGUAAAGGCCUACCAAGCUUCGAUCAGUAGCUGGUCUGAGAGGACGAUCAGCCACACUGGGACUGAGACACGGCCCAGACUCCUACGGGAGGCAGCAGUGGGGAAUUUUCCGCAAUGGGCGCAAGCCUGACGGAGCAACGCCGCGUGAGGGAUGAAGGCCUUUGGGCUGUAAACCUCUUUUCUCAAGGAAGAACAUCUGACGGUACUUGAGGAAUAAGCCACGGCUAAUUCCGUGCCAGCAGCCGCGGUAAUACGGGAGUGGCAAGCGUUAUCCGGAAUUAUUGGGCGUAAAGCGUCCGCAGGCGGCCGUUUAAGUCUGUUGUUAAAUCGUGGAGCUCAACUCCAUCACGGCAAUGGAAACUGUUCGGCUUGAGUAUGGUAGGGGCAGAGGGAAUUUCCGGUGUAGCGGUGAAAUGCGUAGAUAUCGGGAAGAACACCAGUGGCAAAAGCGCUCUGCUGGGCCAUUACUGACGCUCAUGGACGAAAGCCAGGGGAGCGAAAGGGAUUAGAUACCCCUGUAGUCA